UACGAAGGCAGCAGUGGGGAAUAUUGCACAAUGGGCGCAAGCCUGAUGCAGCCAUGCCGCGUGUAUGAAAAAGGCCUUCGGGUUGUAAAGUACUUUCAGUCGUGAGGAAGGUGUUAAGGUUAAUAACCUUAGCAAUUGACGUUAGCGACAGAAGAAGCACCGGCUAACUCCGUGCCAGCAGCCGCGGUAAUACGGAGGGUGCGAGCGUUAAUCGGAAUUACUGGGCGUAAAGGGCACGCAGGCGGUUAAUUAAGUUGGAUGUGAAAUCCCCGGGCUUAACCUGGGAAUGGCAUUCAAGACUGGUUAGCUAGAGUCUUGUAGAGGGGGUAGAAUUCCAUGUGUAGCGGUGAAAUGCGUAGAGAUGUGGAGGAAUACCGGUGGCGAAGGCGGCCCCUGGACAAAGACUGACGCUCAUGUGCGAAAGCGUGGGGAGCAAACAGGGAUUAGAUACC
rnacentral:rRNA from 1 species